rnacentral:rRNA from 1 species
GCUCAACUGAGGAAUUGCUUUGGAAACUGGAUGACUUGAGUGCAGUAGAGGAAAGUGGAACUCCAUGUGCAGCGGUGAAAUGCGUAGAUAUAUGGAAGAACACCAGUGGCGAAGGCGGCUUUCUGGACUGUAACUGACGUUGAGGCUCGAAAGUGUGGGUAGCAAACAGGAUUAGAUACCCUGGUAGUCCACACCGUAAACGAUGAGUGCUAGGGGUUUGAGGGUUUCCGCCCUUAAGUGCCGCAGCUAACGCAUUAAGCACUCCGCCUGGGGAGUACGACCGCAAGGUUGAAACUCAAAGGAAUUGACGGGGACCCGCACAAGCGGUGGAGCAUGUGGUUUAAUCCGAAGCAACGCGAAGAACCUUACCAGGUCUUGACAUCCCUUGACAACUCCAGAGAUGGAGCGUUCCCUUCGGGGACAAGGUGACAGGUGGUGCAUGGUUGUCGUCAGCUCGUGUCGUGAGAUGUUGGGUUAAGUCCCGCAACGAGCGCAACCCUUAUUGCUAGUUGCCAGCAUUUAGUUGGGCACUCUAGUGAGACUGCCGGUGACAAACCGGAGGAAGGUGGGGAUGACGUCAAAUCAUCAUGCCCCUUAUGACCUGGGCUACACACGUGCUACAAUGGCGUAUACAACG